CAGUUACACCUAAAGAAGCUAUCCCAUAAUAUUCCCUUACAUCCUUUUCUUGCACUUUCCACAGAUGCUGGUCAUUUUCAAGGACAGAAUAUUGGACAGGAUAUGUGGGGCUUGUGCUCUGGCACAGCAGAUCCAGUGCUCAAAUUCAAGGUGACUUGUGGCACAGCUGCUGUCCUUUGGUCCUGGAGCCUGUUCCCUGUGUCAUCCUCUGAUAAGUUUGUUCCAGACACAUAUCCAUCAGCAAGUGUCUGGAGUCUUCGUGUGUGCUGAGUAACACCUGGUGUUACCUGCUCCCACUGAGAGAAAGAGGCUGUGGCUUCUGCUGCAGGCUAAGAGGUAGGCAAGGCGUUUUUCUCUCUCUUAAAACAAAUGUCAAGCUAUUUGUUCUCUAUUCAAGUAGCAAGUCUUAUAUCAGAACUUCUUAUAUUCUUGUUAUCAAUCCUCUGGUGACCCCAAGAGAGUAUUACCCAACACACACCCAGAGCCAGGGCUUUCCAUCUGUGGAGCAAGGCCCUGUAAGUGAGCAGUGGUUUUCCUCAAUCUUUGUUUUUUCACACUCA
rnacentral:lncRNA from 12 species